GACGAACGCUGGCGGCGUGCUUAACACAUGCAAGUCGAACGGUGAAGCGCCUUCCUUUUUGGUGGGUGUGGAUGAGUGGCGAACGGGUGAGUAACACGUGAGUAACCUGCCCCCUUCUUCUGGAUAACCGCAUGAAAGUGUGGCUAAUACGGGAUAUUCUGGGUCUGUCGCAUGAUGGGUCUGGGAAAGAUAUUGUUUCGGUGGGGGAUGGGCUCGCGGCCUAUCAGCUUGUUGGUGGGGUGAUGGCCUACCAAGGCGGUGACGGGUAGCCGGCCUGAGAGGGUGGACGGUCACACUGGGAAUGAGACACGGCCCAGACUCCUACGGGAGGCAGCAGUGGGGAAUAUUGCACAAUGGGGGCAAGCAUGAUGCAGCGACGCCGCGUGAGGGAUGGAGGCCUUCGGGUUGUGAACCUCUUUCGCCAGUGAAGCAGGCCUGCCUCGUUUGUGGGUGGGUUGACGGUAGCUGGAUAAGAAGCGCCGGCUAACUACGUG
rnacentral:rRNA from 1 species